rnacentral:rRNA from 1 species
AUUGAACGCUGGCGGCAUGCCUUACACAUGCAAGUCGAACGGCAGCACGGGUGCUUGCACCUGGUGGCGAGUGGCGAACGGGUGAGUAAUAUAUCGGAACGUACCUUAUCGUGGGGGAUAACGCAGCGAAAGCUGCGCUAAUACCGCAUACGCCCUGAGGGGGAAAGCGGGGGACCGUAAGGCCUCGCGCGAUUAGAGCGGCCGAUGGCAGAUUAGGUAGUUGGUGGGAUAAAAGCUUACCAAGCCGACGAUCUGUAGCUGGUCUGAGAGGACGACCAGCCACACUGGGACUGAGACACGGCCCAGACUCCUACGGGAGGCAGCAGUGGGGAAUUUUCCGCAAUGGGCGAAAGCCUGACGGAGCAAUACCGCGUGAGGGAAGACUGCCUAUGGGUUGUAAACCUCUUUUUUCAGGGAGGAAUAAAUGACGUGUACCUGAAGAAUAAGCAUCGGCUAACUCCGUG